AUACGGAGGGUGCAAGCGUUGUUCGGAAUUACUGGGCGUAAAGGGCGUGCAGGCGGUUUGGCAAGUCAGAUGUGAAAGCCCUGGGCUUAACCCGGGAAGUGCAUUUGAAACUGCCAUACUUGAGUAUGGGAGAGGAGAGCGGAAUUCCCAGUGUAGAGGUGAAAUUCGUAGAUAUUGGGAGGAACACCCGUGGCGAAGGCGGCUCUCUGGACCAAUACUGACGCUGAGACGCGAAAGCGUGGGGAGCAAACAGGAUUAGAUACCCUGGUAGUCCACGCCGUAAACGAUGAGAACUAGGUGUAGCGGGUAUUGACCCCUGCUGUGCCGAAGUUAACGCAUUAAGUUCUCCGCCUGGGGAGUACGGCCGCAAGGCUAAA
rnacentral:rRNA from 1 species